rnacentral:rRNA from 1 species
AGUGAACGCUGGCGGUAGGCCUAACACAUGCAAGUCGAACGGCAGCACAGUAAGAGCUUGCUCUUACGGGUGGCGAGUGGCGGACGGGUGAGGAAUACAUCGGAAUCUACUUUUUCGUGGGGGAUAACGUAGGGAAACUUACGCUAAUACCGCAUACGACCUACGGGUGAAAGCAGGGGAUCUUCGGACCUUGCGCGAUUGAAUGAGCCGAUGUCGGAUUAGCUAGUUGGCGGGGUAAAGGCCCACCAAGGCGACGAUCCGUAGCUGGUCUGAGAGGAUGAUCAGCCACCCGGGAACUGAGACACGGUCCAGACUCCUACGGGAGGCAGCAGUGGGGAAUAUUGGACAAUGGGCGCAAGCCUGAUCCAGCCAUACCGCGUGGGUGAAGAAGGCCUUCGGGUUGUAAAGCCCUUUUGUUGGGAAAGAAAAGCAGCAGGUUAAUACCCCGCUGUUCUGACGGUACCCAAAGAAUAAGCACCGGCUAACUUCGUG